GAGGGACGGAGGGCAGCAGGGCUCAGGGGAACGGGAAAGCAGGGCCUGGGCCCGGGCUCGUGGGAGGUCUCACCCCCCCCCCGCCCUCCGCGUGUACCCACAGUGGGCUCUGGUUAGCUCUGCCCCACCAUUCGCCUAGGAUGCUGUCCCGCCCACAGGUGUUCUCCGGCCCCAAGAACUGCCCUGGACACCCCCCCGCCCCUCCCUGCGUCUCCCAGCUGCUGACUUCACUCUUCUCUGCCCUGAAGUCACUGACUUGCGGCUGUUUGUGCGUGCCCGGGAGCUGCACACACUUGAAGUGACCGGCCUGGAGACAGUUGCUCAGAUCAAGGCAAAAGCCCAUGCCGCCUCCUUGGAGGGCCACACCACCGAAGAUAAAGUAGUGCUUCUGGCAGCUUCUCCCCUGCAGGAUGAAGCCACCCUGGGUCAGUGUGGGGUAGAAGCCCUGGCGACCCUGGAAGUGGUUGGCCGCCUGCUAGGAGUGGAUGAGAGCACAUACAUAAAUAUUCAAGCCAGUUAAUUAUAUUUAUCCGGGGUGUUGAUGAGAAUUUUUACAUCACUGAAGAACUUUUGGACAUGGUUCCCAUGACAGACCCAGCAUCUGAAAAUGUCUUAUUUGGGUAUUCACCCAAGAGAAAUGAGAACAUAUCCAUACAAAGACUUGUAGAAGAAUAGGCCCAAACUGGAAACACCCUAAAUCUCCAUCACAGAGGAAUGGAUAAACAAAUUGUUGUAUGGGGCGCCUGGGUGACUCAGUCCAUUAAGCGUCUGCCCUCAGCUCAGGUCGUGAUCCCAGGGUCCUGGGAUCAAGCCCCACAUCAGGUUUCCUGCUCAGUGGGGAGUCUGCUUCUGCAUCUCCUUCUCCCCCUGCCCCUCCCCCUCCUCAAGCUCUCUCUCUCUCAAAAAAAAAAAAGAUUCAAGAAGAAUAUAUUCCACUCUAAUCACCUUCUUUUAGGAGGUGAAGCCUGCUUCUCCCUCUGCCUGCCGCUCCCCCUGUUUGUGCUCGCUCUGUCAAAUAAAUAAAUAAAAUCUUUAAAAAAAUGAAAGAAAAAAUGUAUUUUGGAAAAUAGAGGAAUAAGGAAUAAAUGUUAUUACUUUACCUUGAAACCAGUUUAACUUCAAAAGAAAAAAGAAUGUGAAUCCAAAGAAGCAGGAAAAUAGGACCCAUUACAAAGAGAAAAACCAACCAGAACUGACCCAGAAAUGAUAUAGAUGACCGAAUUAGUAGACAAGGGCAUUCAACAGUCAUCAUAGCUGUGUUCCAUAUGUUUACAAGUCACAAGAAAGACUGAACAUGUUAAGUAGAGACAUGUGAGGAAAAAUAAGACCCAAACCAAACCUCGAAAGUUGAAAACUUCAGUGCCUGAAACGAAACCUAUAUUAGAUUAAUUGCAUAUGAGGCAUUGCAAAAGAAAGAUUAAUAUACUUGAAGGCAUAGCUAUAAAAACUAUUCCGAAUAAAACUUAAGAGACAAAAAGAUAGAAAAGACCAUGAACAGACUAUCAGUGAGCUGUAAGCUGUGGGACAACUUCAAGAAGCCAAAUAUACAACCUAAAUGGGGGAGGAGACAGGAAAAAAUAUUUGAAGAAAUAGUGGCCAAAAUUUUUCCAAAUUUGAUGAAAACUAUAAAUCCUCAGAUUGAAGAAGCUCAGUGAACCCUAAGCACAAGAAACAUUAAGAAAGGGGACAUAAAUCGACAUGCUUAAAAAUGGUGAUGAUGAGAAAAUCUUAGCAGCCAAAGAGAAAAAAGACAUAUUUCAUAAAGAGGAAUAAAGAUCAGGAUGACAGCAGAUUUCUCGCUGAAGCAAUGCAAAAGACAGUGAAGAAACAUCUGUAUAGUACUGGUAGGAAAAAAAGCAGUCAACCUAGAACGUUAUAUACAGCAAAAAUGUAUUUCAAAAACAAAGGCCGAAUACCUUUUCAGACAUACAAAUCCUGAAAGAAUUUGUCACCAGCAGGCCUACGCUACAGUGAAUGUGAAAGGAAGUCCUUCAGAUAGAAAGGGAAUGAUACAAACUGGAAAUGUGGAUAGACAACAGGAAUAAAGAAUACCAGAAAUGACAACCACAUGGAUAAAUACAAAAAACUUUUUUUUCUUAUUAUUUAAAUCUCU